rnacentral:rRNA from 1 species
UACGUAGGAGGCAAGCGUUGUCCGGAAUUACUGGGCGUAAAGCGUGCGCAGGCGGUUGUGCAAGACAGAUGUGAAAUCCCCGGGCUCAACCUGGGAACUGCAUUUGUGACUGCACGGCUGGAGUGCGGCAGAGGGGGAUGGAAUCCGCGUGUAGCAGUGAAAUGCGUAGAUAUGCGGAGGAACACCGAUGGCGAAGGCAAUCCCCUGGGCCUGCACUGACGCUCAUGCACGAAAGCGUGGGGAGCAAACAGG